AUUGAACGCUGGCGGCAGGCUUAACACAUGCAAGUCGAGCGGAGUGAUGGUGCUUGCACUAUCACUUAGCGGCGGACGGGUGAGUAAUGCUUAGGAAUCUGCCAUUUGGUGGGGGACAACAUUCCGAAAGGAAUGCUAAUACCGCAUACGUCCUACGGGAGAAAGCAGGGGAUCUUCGGACCUUGCGCUAAAUGAUGAGCCUAAGUCGGAUUAGCUAGUUGGUGGGGUAAAGGCCUACCAAGGCGACGAUCUGUAGCGGGUCUGAGAGGAUGGUCCGCCACACUGGGACUGAGACACGGCCCAGACUCCGACGGGAGGCAGCAGUGGGGAAUAUUGGACAAGGGGCGGAAGCCUGAUCCAGCCAUGCCGCGUGUGUGAAGAAGGCCUCUUGGUUGUAAAGCACUUUAAGCGAGGAGGAGGCUCUCCUAGUUAAUACCUAGGAAGAGUGGACGUUACUCGCAGAAUAAGCACCGGCUAACUCUGUGCCAGCCGCCGCGGUAACAC
rnacentral:rRNA from 1 species